UUUUAUAUUUUGCCGUGUUUUUAUUUGACACACCCUGGACAGUGGAUGUGUUCUGAGUGUCCUACAUUUAGAACGCAAGAGGCGCCUGCUUUUAUGUGAGAUGGCAGCAGGCAGUGCAAGCAUUGAUGGUUUGUCUGUGGGAGCCGAUGGCCUAGUUUGAGGAAACGUGGGAUCAUUCUGCUAGCCGACUGGAAACAUACCAGGGCUGGAACAAAGUCAAGCAGCCUCAAGUGUACACUGCACGCCAGACUUGAACACAGCUAGACACAGCCGGAGUUGCUGAAAAGUCAAUGCUACCCACUUCUAACUUGUUCUGUGGGUCAUCGUCCUGGUACCACGAACCAUAAAUGUGAGCUGCGCCAAAGUCUGCCCAGCAACAGUGCCAACCGCUCAGAAGAGGAGAUAAAAAUUGCUGGCGGACGUGACUAUUCUGGUGAUGAUUCCAAUGGAAGACACACUAAGUGACCAACAUUGAGGACCAAGUAGGUAGGUAGGAUGUGAGGUCAGAAUUUGGUUCCUGUUGGAGCAGAUUUCAGAGAUCUGUGGGGAAAGCAGACAAGCAUGCAUGAGAUCUCUGUCAAAAGCAUCCAGUGCAGUGUCUCCUAGUAGCCACCCUUGAAAGGAAAGGUCAGUGUGAACAUGUUCAAUCUCAGAGACCCCUGUAGUAGAAAAGAGGAGGGAGCCAAAACCUCUUCUGCCUUCUGUGUGUCUAAACAAACAAAUAAAAAUAAAAUACUUUUUAAAACAAA